GCAUUCAUGGCUGAGUGGUUAAAGCGCCCAAUUCAUAGCUGGUAAUUUGCGGGUUCAAUUCCCGCUGGAUGCA
rfam:Triticum urartu cultivar G1812 contig224712, whole genome shotgun sequence.